rnacentral:rRNA from 1 species
UUAAGCGACUAAGCGUACACGGUGGAUGCCCUGGCAGUCAGAGGCGAUGAAGGACGUGCUAAUCUGCGAUAAGCGUCGGUAAGGUGAUAUGAACCGUUAUAACCGGCGAUUUCCGAAUGGGGAAACCCAGUGUGWUUCGWCACACUAUCAUUAACUGAAUCCAUAGGUUAAUGAGGCGAACCGGGGGAACUGAAACAUCUAAGUACCCCGAGGAAAAGAAAUCAACCGAGAUUCCCCCAGUAGCGGCGAGCGAACGGGGAGSAGCCCAGAGCCUGAAUCAGUGUGUGUGUUAGUGGAAGCGUCUGGAAAGGCGCGCGAUACAGGGUGACAGCCCCGUACACAAAAAUGCACAURYUGUGAGCUCGAUGAGUAGGGCGGGACACGUGGUAUCCUGUCUGAAUAUGGGGGGACCAUCCUCCAAGGCUAAAUACUCCUGACUGACCGAUAGUGAACCAGUACCGUGAGGGAAAGGCGAAAAGAACCCCGGCGAGGGGAGUGAAAAAGAACCUGAAACCGUGUACGUACAAGCAGUGGGAGCACGCUUAGGCGUGUGACUGCGUACCUUUUGUAUAAUGGGUCAGCGACUUAUAUUCUGUAGCAAGGUUAACCGAAUAGGGGAGCCGAAGGGAAACCGAGUCUUAACUGGGCGUUAAGUUGCAGGGUAUAGACCCGAAACCCGGUGAUCUAGCCAUGGGCAGGUUGAAGGUUGGGUAACACUAACUGGAGGACCGAACCGACUAAUGUUGAAAAAUUAGCGGAUGACUUGUGGCUGGGGGUGAAAGGCCAAUCAAACCGGGAGAUAGCUGGUUCUCCCCGAAAGCUAUUUAGGUAGCGCCUCGUGAAUUCAUCUCCGGGGGUAGAGCACUGUUUCGGCAAGGGGGUCAUCCCGACUUACCAACCCGAUGCAAACUGCGAAUACCGGAGAAUGUUAUCACGGGAGACACACGGCGGGUGCUAACGUCCGUCGUGAAGAGGGAAACAACCCAGACCGCCAGCUAAGGUCCCAAAGUCAUGGUUAAGUGGGAAACGAUGUGGGAAGGCCCAGACAGCCAGGAUGUUGGCUUAGAAGCAGCCAUCAUUUAAAGAAAGCGUAAUAGCUCACUGGUCGAGUCGGCCUGCGCGGAAGAUGUAACGGGGCUAAACCAUGCACCGAAGCUGCGGCAGCGACGCUUAUGCGUUGUUGGGUAGGGGAGCGUUCUGUAAGCCUGYGAAGGUGUGCUGUGAGGCAUGCUGGAGGUAUCAGAAGUGCGAAUGCUGACAUAAGUAACGAUAAAGCGGGUGAAAAGCCCGCUCGCCGGAAGACCAAGGGUUCCUGUCCAACGUUAAUCGGGGCAGGGUGAGUCGACCCCUAAGGCGAGGCCGAAAGGCGUAGUCGAUGGGAAACAGGUUAAUAUUCCUGUACUUGGUGUUACUGCGAAGGGGGGACGGAGAAGGCUAUGUUGGCCGGGCGACGGUUGUCCCGGUUUAAGCGUGUAGGCUGGUUUUCCAGGCAAAUCCGGAAAAUCAAGGCUGAGGCGUGAUGACGAGGCACUACGGUGCUGAAGCAACAAAUGCCCUGCUUCCAGGAAAAGCCUCUAAGCAUCAGGUAACAUCAAAUCGUACCCCAAACCGACACAGGUGGUCAGGUAGAGAAUACCAAGGCGCUUGAGAGAACUCGGGUGAAGGAACUAGGCAAAAUGGUGCCGUAACUUCGGGAGAAGGCACGCUGAUAUGUAGGUGAAGUCCCUCGCGGAUGGAGCUGAAAUCAGUCGAAGAUACCAGCUGGCUGCAACUGUUUAUUAAAAACACAGCACUGUGCAAACACGAAAGUGGACGUAUACGGUGUGACGCCUGCCCGGUGCCGGAAGGUUAAUUGAUGGGGUUAGCCGCAAGGCGAAGCUCUUGAUCGAAGCCCCGGUAAACGGCGGCCGUAACUAUAACGGUCCUAAGGUAGCGAAAUUCCUUGUCGGGUAAGUUCCGACCUGCACGAAUGGCGUAAUGAUGGCCAGGCUGUCUCCACCCGAGACUCAGUGAAAUUGAACUCGCUGUGAAGAUGCAGUGUACCCGCGGCAAGACGGAAAGACCCCGUGAACCUUUACUAUAGCUUGACACUGAACAUUGAGCCUUGAUGUGUAGGAUAGGUGGGAGGCUUWGAAGUGUGGACGCCAGUCUGCAUGGAGCCGACCUUGAAAUACCACCCUUUAAUGUUUGAUGUUCUAACGUUGACCCGUAAUCCGGGUUGCGGACAGUGUCUGGUGGGUAGUUUGACUGGGGCGGUCUCCUCCUAAAGAGUAACGGAGGAGCACGAAGGUUGGCUAAUCCUGGUCGGACAUCAGGAGGUUAGUGCAAUGGCAUAAGCCAGCUUGACUGCGAGCGUGACGGCGCGAGCAGGUGCGAAAGCAGGUCAUAGUGAUCCGGUGGUUCUGAAUGGAAGGGCCAUCGCUCAACGGAUAAAAGGUACUCCGGGGAUAACAGGCUGAUACCGCCCAAGAGUUCAUAUCGACGGCGGUGUUUGGCACCUCGAUGUCGGCUCAUCACAUCCUGGGGCUGAAGUAGGUCCCAAGGGUAUGGCUGUUCGCCAUUUAAAGUGGUACGCGAGCUGGGUUUAGAACGUCGUGAGACAGUUCGGUCCCUAUCUGCCGUGGGCGCUGGAGAACUGAGGGGGGCUGCUCCUAGUACGAGAGGACCGGAGUGGACGCAUCACUGGUGUUCGGGUUGUCAUGCCAAUGGCACUGCCCGGUAGCUAAAUGCGGAAGAGAUAAGUGCUGAAAGCAUCUAAGCACGAAACUUGCCCCGAGAUGAGUUCUCCCUGACUCCUUGAGAGUCCUGAAGGAACGUUGAAGACGACGACGUUGAUAGGCCGGGUGUGUAAGCGCAGCGAUGCGUUGAGCUAACCGGUACUAAUGAACCGUGAGGCUUAACCUU